UGAGGAAUAUUGCACAAUGGGCGCAAGCCUGAUGCAGCGACGCCGCGUGGGUGAUGAAGGCUUUCGGGUCGUAAAACCCUUUUUGUGUGACGAGAACGGACGGUAGCACAAGAAUAAGCCUCGGCUAACUACGUGCCAGCAGCCGCGGUAAAACGUAGGAGGCGAGCGUUAUCCGGAGUUACUGGGCGUAAAGCGCGUGUAGGUGGUCUGUUACGUCUGCUGUGAAAUGUCCCGGCUCAACCGGGACUAGGCGGUAGAUACGGGCAGACUUGAGGGUGACAGAGGAGCGUAGAAUUCCGGGUGUAGUGGUGAAAUGCGUAGAGAUCCGGAGGAAUACCAGUGGCGCAAGCGGCGCUCUGGGUCGAGCCUGACACUGAGACGCGAAGGCAUGGGGAGCGGAACGGGAUUAGAAACCCCGGUAGUCCAUGCAGUAAACGAUGCAGACUGGGUGUGGGUAGCGCAAGCUAUCUGUGCCGAAGCCAACG
rnacentral:rRNA from 1 species